GCACCGUUAUUUUUUCAAUGGUUGCAAAAGUCUUAAUGAUUUACUCUGCGCCACGUUAGAUAUUGUGAUUCAUUGAUGAUAUAUAUCUGAUUGCGAUAUGACCUUGGGCGAGCAAGUCCCGUUUAAUUUUUCAGCCUUGGGAGCUCUUUGUACCUGCAAAAAGCCUGCCCUGCUCUGAAGCAAAAUGCAGCUGCUGUGAUCACUGUAAAAACCUCUGCUAUCCUUUGGACUUGAACUUCACAACCUCUGCUCCUGGACAAUCACUCUCACCUCGUUGCUGUCCUUGUGUUUGCAGUCAGCAGGGAAUAUACUGAAUUGUGGAGCUCAAGCGGCACGGCUGGCAGACCUGCGAGAGAUCACAGGAGGAAGAGGGGAAAUUCUGGAGCUGCUGCCAAGGCCGAGCUGUACAGGUCAGUGAGUGUGUGAGUGCAGUUGAACUAGAAUGAACUAGAAUGAAAUCUCUGC